ACGAACGCUGGCGGCGUGCUUAACACAUGCAAGUCGAACGGAAAGGCCCCUUUGGGGGUACUCGAGUGGCGAACGGGUGAGUAACACGUGAGUAACCUGCCCUUGACUUCGGGAUAACUUCAGGAAACUGGGGCUAAUACCGGAUAGGAAUCCUUGCUGCAUGGUGGGGGUUGGAAAGCUUCGGCGGUUUUGGAUGGACUCGCGGCUUAUCAGCUUGUUGGUGGGGUAGUGGCUUGCCAAGGCUUUGACGGGUAGCCGGCCUGAGAGGGCGACCGGCCACAUUGGGACUGAGAUACGGCCCAGACUCCUACGGGAGGCAGCAGUGGGGAAUAUUGCACAAUGGGCGGAAGCCUGAUGCAGCAACGCCGCGUGCGGGAUGACGGCCUUCGGGUUGGAAACCGCUUUCAGCAGGGGCGAAGCUUGUGGUGACGGUACCUGCAGAAGAAGCACCGGCUAACUACGUG
rnacentral:rRNA from 1 species